AUACUCUAAUAGUUUAUAAAAACAUU
rnacentral:tRNA from 4 species